AUCGAGCUGACGAGUCCCAAAUAGGACGAAACAUGCUUCAUCCUAGAU
rfam:Schistosoma haematobium scaffold3087_3, whole genome shotgun sequence.